UACGUAGGGAGCAAGCGUUGUCCGGAAUCAUUGGGCGUAAAGCGCGCGUAGGCGGCCCCGUAAGUCCGCUGUGAAAGUCAAAGGCUCAACCUUUGAAAGCCGGUGGAAACUGUGGGGCUAGAGUCCGGAAGAGGCGAGUGGAAAUUCCUGGUGUAGCGGUGGAAUGCGCAGAUAUCAGGAGGAACACCAAUAGCGAAGGCAGCUCGCUGGGACGGUACUGACGCUAAGGCGCGAAAGCGUGGGGAGCGAACGAGGAUUGAG
rnacentral:rRNA from 1 species